AGUUCCUGCCCAAAGCAGGAGGGGAAAGGCUUUUCCACCAAGGGAAAGCUAAAUAUUGUCUAAAUCCGGCACCCAGGACGACACACAGGCUUCCCAUUGUCUGCCACACAGCAGGUCUCGGCCACGGCCCAGGUUGCACCCGUGUGAGGUUGAUGUUGGACCGUAUUUACAUUCAGUGUUUGGGGCUGACCGGGAAGAAAUCUGAAAGUGGAAGAGAAGGGAAGGCACCGGUAACCUCGUCUUCCCAAGAGGAGGUCAGAGGGCAGUUCAGACAUUGAAGGAAGAGACAAAGAGCCUUGAAUGUCACGAAAAGGAGGUUGGACUUUAUCCUGCAGGCAAUCAGAAGCCAGAAAGGUUUCAGGAUGGAUGGGCUGAUCAGAUUUGAGUUUCAACAGGCCACUGUAGACAGGCUCUCCUUAUGUUUCCCAGGCUGGUCUUUAACUCCUGUCCUCAAGUGAUCCUCCCACUCCAGCCUCCCAAAGUGCUGGGAUUACAGAUGUGAGCCACCGCGCCCGGCCUGGACUUAUUGUUAAAAAUACACUUACCAGCAUUUGUGUUCUUGUCUAUCGUCUUCUUGCCUGG
ensembl:lncRNA novel transcript